AGCAGUGCCUGAAGGAAGAAAGUACAUUCUCCAUUUCAAAAGAUACCAGAUCUGCACAGAGCACCAGGCCUGUGAAGACGCGUAACAGUGAAAAGCUUUCCAAGAAAAGAGGCCAGGUUCCAAGGCUACAACAAGGCCCUGGGGACGAGAGGAAGAUGGCCCUUGGUGCUCUCCAGGUGUCCUCUGAGGAUGGGGCACUGCAGGCUGUGCCCAGCGGCCAGGACGGUGGGAAGGCUGUGUGGCCCAGCACCCUGGGAGAGGGAGACAAGGAGCGAGUGGACGCAAGCCAGGGAAAGGAUGGGGUGAAAGUGAAAAGCAAACAGAAAAGAAAAAAGGAGAACAAAUCGGAAGAGCAAAGGUGGGAAGGGCUUAAGGAGAAAGGUGCUGGGAGACAGA